rnacentral:rRNA from 1 species
GCUGGUGGCAUGCUUAACACAUGCAAGUCGAACGGUAACAGGAGAAGCUUGCUUCUUGCUGACGAGUGGCGGACGGGUGAGUAACGCGUAGGAAUCUGCCCAUUUGUGGGGGAUACCAGUUGGAAACGACUGUUAAUACCGCAUACUAUCUGAGGAUUAAAGGUGGCCUUUGUGCUGCCGCAGAUGGAUGAGCCUGCGUUAGAUUAGCUUGUUGGUGGGGUAAAGGCCUACCAAGGCUACGAUCUAUAGCUGAUUUGAGAGGAUGAUCAGCCACAUUGGGACUGAGACACGGCCCAAACUCCUACGGGAGGCAGCAGUGGGGAAUAUUGGACAAUGGAGGAAACUCUGAUCCAGCAAUGCCAUGUGUGUGAAGAAGGCUCUAGGGUUGUAAAGCACUUUAGUUGGGGAGGAAAGCUUAUGAGUUAAUAGCUCAUGAGAAGGACGUUACCCAAAGAAUAAGGACCGGCUAACUCCGUGCCAGCAGCCGCGGUAAUACGGGGGGGUCCGAGCGUUAAUCGGAAUUACUGGGCGUAAAGGGUCUGUAGGUGGUUUGUUAAGUCAGAUGUGAAAGCCCAGGGCUCAACCUUGGAACUGCAUUUGAUACUGGCAAACUAGAGUAUGGUAGAGGAAUGGGGAAUUUCUGGUGUAGCGGUGAAAUGCGUAGAGAUCAGAAGGAACACCAAUGGCGAAGGCAACAUUCUGGACCAAUACUGACACUGAGGGACGAAAGCGUGGGGAUCAAACAGGAUUAGAUACCCUGGUAGUCCACGCUGUAAACGAUGAGUACUAGCUGUUGGAUUCGGUGUAAAGGAUCUAGUGGCGUAGCUAACGCGUUAAGUACUCCGCCUGGGGACUACGGCCGCAAGGCUAAAACUCAAAGGAAUUGACGGGGACCCGCACAAGCGGUGGAGCAUGUGGUUUAAUUCGAUGCAACGCGAAGAACCUUACCUGGUCUUGACAUCCUGCGAACUUUCUAGAGAUAGAUUGGUGCCUUCGGGAACGCAGUGACAGGUGCUGCACGGCUGUCGUCAGCUCGUGUUGUGAAAUGUUGGGUUAAGUCCCGCAACGAGCGCAACCCCUAUUGAUAGUUACCAUCAUUAAGUUGGGUACUCUAUUGAGACUGCCGCUGACAAGGCGGAGGAAGGUGGGGACGACGUCAAGUCAUCAUGGCCCUUACGACCAGGGCUACACACGUGCUACAAUGGGUAUUACAGAGGGCAGCGAAGUAGCGAUAUGGAGCGAAACUCAGAAAGGUACUCUUAGUCCGGAUUGCAGUCUGCAACUCGACUGCAUGAAGUCGGAAUCGCUAGUAAUCGCAGGUCAGAAUACUGCGGUGAAUACGUUCCCGGGUCUUGUACACACCGCCCGUCACACCAUGGGAGUGGGUUGCUCCAGAAGUAGAUAGCUUAACGAAUGGGCGUUUACCACGGAGUGAUUCAUGACUGGGGUG